rnacentral:ncRNA from 1 species
AUAGUGGUUCACGCAGCUGGUUCCCCCGGCCAUCCAGGUCGGUGGAGGUAACAGGGAAUCCGGUGUAGGCCCAACCCGUAUCAGGGUUGGGGCGAGUCCGGGACUGCCCCGCAGCGGUGAUCGAGAACGACCGUCGUCAUCAAGCACUGGGUGCCUGCAAGCACACCUGGGAAGCGACGACCAGUAGGUGAUCACCCCGAUCCCUGCACGUCCGGGAUCGGGUGGCCGAGCUCGUGAGUCCGAAGACCUGCCAGUGCGCUUCAGGUGAC